UGCUUCUAUGACGUUAGCGGCGGACGGGUGAGUACACGUGGGCAACCUGCCUGUAAGACUGGGAUACUUCGGGAAACCGAAGCUAAUACCGGAUAGGAUCUUCUCCUUCAUGGGAGAUGAUUGAAAGAUGGUUUCGGCUAUCACUUACAGAUGGGCCCGCGGUGCAUUAGCUAGUUGGUGAGGUAACGGCUCACCAAGGCAACGAUGCAUAGCCGACCUGAGAGGGUGAUCGGCCACACUGGGACUGAGACACGGCCCAGACUCCUACGGGAGGCAGCAGUAGGGAAUCUUCCGCAAUGGACGAAAGUCUGACGGAGCAACGCCGCGUGAGUGAUGAAGGCUUUCGGGUCGUAAAACUCUGUUGUUAGGGAAGAACAAGUACAAGAGUAACUGCUU
rnacentral:rRNA from 1 species